UGAGAUAAGAGUGCACCCAGAUAGAGGAAGACAUUUAUAGAGUGCUCUUACACGGUGCAACAGCUCACAAAAAGAAGUCAUGGAUUCCCUCUGAUUGGAGGUUGUCUUUAAAAACAGUUCUGCCACAUGGAGAAAAGAGAGGAACAAUUCCAAUAUUGACAAUGGUCUAGAAGUACCUGUGGAUUCUGGCUAAACUUCAUGAGACUGUGUACCUUUGGUGCCUACUGUGGGCUCAAGCUCAUCCACUUUCUCAGAGCCAUUCAGAAAAUGAAGAGGAAAAAUAUCUAAGGGCUCCAGUCACAGAGAAACUAAGUCUUCAGAACUGUAUGCAAAAGAAAUCACAGUGUUCUGCUGUAUUAAAAAAACGUGUGCCCCUUCAUCGGACACCUGAUUAUUUGGUCACUCCAAAGGACAUCUUCCCGGUUGACCUACACCACUACAUCUACUUACCAUACGUAGGAGAAGCACUUUGAAAAAGAACUAGCUGUCUUCUCAGAGCUAGCCUUUCAAAUCUGUGAAGUGACGCUGCAUGCCAUCUCUUGAUCUCUCCUGUGUGACUAGACGGGCACCAAAUAAGCAUAGCUCCAGGGGACGCAGUGCUUGGUGUUUUAUUGCUUUGGGUGUUCUCCCCUGUAUCCCUGUUAUACCUGGAAAAGAGAAACACAAGCCUCCGUGCCAGUGUGGAAAUCUGCAAUCACCCAUUUAGCUUCUCUUCCCUGGGAGUGUUUGUUGCACUUAUAUAAAGUUUUGUUUGGGUCAGGAUGUUUCUGCCACAGGACGAGAAACAGUGCAACGUUUGUAUGAAAUGAGCGUAAUACAGGAAACACAUAAAAUGUCUGAUAGCCGAUUUGACAUAUGUCUGACAUAUGUUUGAAAUAGUGAAUUUAUAUUAUUAUAUUGUUAUAUUGUUGUUCUUUCAUUUCUGGAUAAUUGGAUCAUUUCUGCAUGUUUUAAUAACCAGCAUUUUUCCAUAGUUCUGAAACCCAAGAAUGCAUAGAUUCUUCAUGGAAUAAGAGAAGACAGGUAAAUCAGAGGCCCCUGAGUUCCUUCUAAAAGCCCUUUAGACAAUCUAAACAAUGUAGCUCCUCUUCUGCAGCAGUGAGUGCUGAAAGCCCCCACGCUCUGCCUCCCACCUCCACUCCCAGGCCACACACACAGAAACGAGGCCAGAUGCAGCGGCCCUCAAUCGUUCUUGGCUUAGGAUCGGAAACCAAAGCAGCAGUGGUUUGGGACUUCUAUAAAGCGUAAAGAUUGGGUAAAGCUGUCUUAAUCCUUAGGCUCCUUGCAGAAAAUUACGCAGGGCUACAAAUGAUUUCUUUUCUCUUCACCUAAGGCAUCAUUUGCCUGAAAGAAAUGAGGUGCAGAGUCGAGUUAAGAGGAAGGAAGUCUCCCUGGCUAGACUAAAUUUGGCCUAUUAGAAAUGCAAUGGGGUUAUAAACAAACACCUUCAAAGAGGAAGAGAAGGGAGGGAGAAAUUUGGGGUCCUUUUUUCAUCUGCACUAGUAGUUUUGAGACUCAGCUGUGUCUCCACUGGGAUUCAGGCACGUGUGGCGUAUCUGAGAAGAUGUUGGAUUGUGAAAACUGCACAUGCAUUUUUCAUGAACUUUUGAGACUAGCUGGAUUCAAAAAGAAAGUGUUAUCACAUUCCUUGCCCAUCCACCUAUUGUCACCUUCCCAGAUCUAGAGAUUCAAGCCCUGGGAAAUAACUACAGGCAAACACGAAUGGAGAUAUUUUUCACAUCUUGUUCUGGAAGAUAUCAAGGCAUCAGCAGGCUGCUUUUGUUUCCAAGCAAGGAAAUGUGAUGUGGAGUCUGGGAGCACGCCAUUGUCCCCACCCUUCCAAUUUCAGGCACCCUGUCGGGCAGCACAUGGACCUCAGGCUUCCCAUGGAAGGCGGCAGCAGGCUCAGUGGUGCGGCAGCCUUAAGUAGCUGCACAGACAGGAAACAUAGAGGAGGAGCUGGAAUAUGGUAACCAGAACUGACUGGGUGAUAAGCACUUAAGUGAGAAGCCCUGGCAUCCUGUGACACAGCUGCAUACUUGUCUGAGAGGUGCUGGAGAUCGUAUUUUAUGCAGGAGAGGGUAAGAGUCAGUGCAAUUUGAGUCACUCCCACUAAAGAGUGCUUGGGACCCACAUGCUUCUGAGACUCAGGGAAAGGCACAGCCACUUAACAUUUAUUAAAGACCCACUAAAUGCCAGUAAUGUCCCAAUGAAUAUUGAAUGAAUGAAUGAAUCAGUGAGUGAAUGGAUGAAAUAGUGAAUGAAUGAAUGAAACUAUUAAGAUAAUAAAACACAGUCUCUAGACCACACAGUUUCUCAAAGUGUGGCCCCAGACCAUCAGCAUCAACUUCCCCUGGGAAUUUAUUAGAAAUGCAAAUACUUAAACCCCACCCCAAACCUAUUGGCCUCGAGACUCUGGAAGAGAGGCUCUGCAAUGUGUAUUGUGACAACCCCUCCAGGUAAUCCGAGGUGUUCUGAAGUUUGAGAACCAUCGCUCUGGUCGAGGAACCCCAAAAAGAAUGGGGCAGGCCAGGAAGAAGACAGGAAAAUGCCAAAAGAAAAAUGAUAGAAUAAAGCAAAAAGUUGUAGGAAGAUUGGAAACAGCAUUUGUAAUUUAUGUGAAGUUAUUCUCUACCUUUUCCUUCUUUAUGAGAGUUCAUUUCCUCCUUGAUACCUCAUCCGUUGGUUGAGAAAAGACAGAAUACACUAAUAUCACAUGUUCUGCCAGCCAGGCACCCCACGUACCCAGCCCUAUUGAUUCUAGCCCCUUUCUCAAAGCAGGGUUAUAGCAUGUAGAUACUGGGAAAAGAAGGAGUCUGGGAGACGACAAUCACAAACCAUAGAAUGGAAACCAGGAACACUCCUGGGUAUGGAGGAACUCUCUAUGGAAAAUUACAGGAGGAAAUGAAAUCCUCUACAAGCCGUCACCAGCUCUGGACCCAUAAAGAAACCUUUGAUAGAAAAAUCACACUGUUUUCCAAAACGCAGUCAUAGGGUUCCCAGGGCCACAUAAUAUGUAGCAUAGACAGCAAUUAUAAGCCAAAAAGCUUUGGUGAGGAGCCUGGAAUGGGUUCUGAAUUGUGAAAAGUGAGCAAAUAUAAAACAGUAUCACACAUAGAAGAAAAUUAAAUAUUUGCAUAAGAAUUAACAAGUUGCUUCCUUAUAUAUAACACACCUCAACCAUUUUUUCCCAGGAAGUAACCAAGGCUUUGGUUAAGAAUGCACAUUAUUUUGCAGUUCUUUGUGUUGGGUAAUAAAGUAAACUAUUGAGUAGUCACCAGCUUGGAAACAACACUCUUUUUCUUUUUUCUUUCUUUUGAAUCUUUGUACUAGUUUUUCAUAGUAUAGAAAUAGCCAAAAAUACAGUUUAUGACAAUAAAUCUACAUUUAAUUCUAUUGAUUUAAGGAAUUUGUAAACAAAUAUUCUUAGCUGGGUGCUUUUGGCAAGUGUUAUGAACUGAAUGUUUGUCAAAAUUAGUAUGUUGGAAUUCUUAUUACCAACCUGAGGUAAAUGUGAGGUAAAUGGAGACAGGGCCUCCGGAAAGUAACCAGGUCAUGAAGGUAGAGCCCUCAUGAUGGAAACUGCCCCGGUAAGAAGAGACGAAAGAGAGCUUGCUUCCUCUCUCUGGUCUCUGCCUUGUGAGGACACAGCAAGAAGGUAACCAUCUGGGAACCAGAAGGAGGAUCCUCACCAGAAGCCAAUCAUAUUAGCACUUUGAUCUCGGACUUCCCAACCUUCAGAACUGUGAGAAAUAAAUUUCUGUUCUUUAACCCAUCCA